rnacentral:rRNA from 1 species
UACGAAAGGUGCAAGCGUUACUCGGAAUCACUGGGCGUAAAGCGCACGUAGGCGGACUCGUAGGUCAGUUGUGAAAUACCUGAGCUCAACUCAGGAAUUGCAGCUGAAACCGCUUGUCUUGAAUACCUGAGAGGGUGGGGGAAUACCUGGUGGAGAAGUGAAAUUCGUAGAGAUCAGGUGGAACACCGGAGGCGAAGGCGCCUGCCUGGCAGUGUAUUGACGCUGAGGUGCGAAAGUGCGGGGAGCAAACAGG